UAACCAAUCAAGUCUAGCUUGGUAUUGGAGUUCGCAGUCCAGCGGCUCUCAAACGCAAUAGCAGUCUAAAUUAGACCCUAAGCGUAGUAAACUUUCUCGCUUUUGGGCUUAAUAGUGGCUUGCUUAGCCUAAUUUUUUAA
rnacentral:misc_RNA from 1 species